UACGGGGGGGGUAAGCGUUGUUCGGAAUUACUGGGCGUAAAGGGCUCGUAGGCGGCCAACUAAGUCCGACGUGAAAUCCCAAAGCUUAACCUUGGAACUGCGUCGGAUACUGGAUGGCUUGAAUUCGGGAGAGGGAUGCAGAAUUCCAGGUGUAGCGGUGAAAUACGUAGAUAUCUGGAGGAAUACCGGUGGCGAAGGCGGCAUCCUGGACCGACAUUGACGCUGAUGAGCGAAAGCUAGGGGAGCAAACGGG
rnacentral:rRNA from 1 species